rnacentral:rRNA from 1 species
GACGAACGCUGGCGGCGUGCCUAACACAUGCAAGUUGAGCGACGAACCAGGGCUUGCCCUGGGGCAAAGCAGCGAACGGGUGAGUAACACGUGGGUAACCUACCCCGAUAACCGGGACAACCCGAGGAAACUCGGGCUAAUACCGGAUGUGCUCACUGGACUUCGGCUCAGUGCGUAAAGGAAGCUUCGGCCUCCGUAUCGGGAGGGGCCCGCGGCCCAUUAGUUUGUUGGUGAGGUAACGGCUCACCAAGACCGCGAUGGGUAGCUGGUCUGAGAGGACGAUCAGCCACACUGGGACUGAGACACGGCCCAGACUCCUACGGGAGGCAGCAGUGGGGAAUCUUGCGCAAAGCGCGAAAGCGUGACGCAGCAACGCCGCGUGGGGGAAGAAGGCCUUCGGGUUGUAAACCCCUUUCAGGAGGGACGAAGGUUCGGCGGUGAAUAGCCGUCCGGACUGACGGUACCUCCACAAGAAGCCCCGGCUAACUACGUG